GGUGCCAGGCGCUGUCCCAACCACUUAAUUUAUUUUAACUUGCUUAACCCUCAAAGUCAGUUUGAGGUCAGUACUCUUUUCGGAGAGAUGGGUACGGAGUCCUGGAGAGGUUAAGCACCACGACAGAGCCGAGAUUUUAAGCACUCGGUCAGGGAGUUGGGCGGGACAGAGGUUUAUUUUGUGGGACUGCCCAGGCCACGGUGGCGAGUUUGGAUUUUCUCCAAGUGUACUAGGGAGGUAUGGAAAGGUUUUGAGCAAAGGAGGGAUAGGAUCUAAUGUGCGAUUUCAAAGGGCUCCUUGGGUGCUAUGUGCAGAGUGGAUCUCAGCAGUGGCAGGAGCAGGGGCCCAGGAGGGGCAGGUGUCUGGACGUGGUUGCCCGACGUAGCCUGGGUGUCUGUGUUCCAGGUGAACGGCUCCCAGGCUGGCCUGCCCCUGACUCUGGCUGGGGGGCACACUCCAGGCCUUCUUCACGCCCUUGGCCAUCACAGUCCAGGUGGCACCCGGCCUCUCCAUGACCUUUCACGAAUCCCAUGCCCUCUGAGUGGCAGUGCCUGAGACCUACACCAACACCCUCUGUGGCCUGGGCGGGGACUUCAGCGUGGAUACCCAGGAUGACUUCAGCGGCUCUGAUAGCACAUGGCUCUCUGAUGCCAACAGCUUAAUGGGGGCCCAGCCCCUCGCCGUGACCACGCCGCCACCGUUAUCACCGCCGUGACCACGCCGCCACCGUUAUCACCGCCGUGACCACGCCGCCACCAUUAUGCUACAUCCUGAUGAUGCCUCCACCUCCCCUCCUUUGCCUUUAUGACUUACCCUUGGCCCCCACAACCCUCUCUCCGCUCCCUUGGUCCUAUUCUGGUUGGAAAUGCUCCAGAAUAGUAAUGCUUGCUCAAUUAUUUAACUCCUACCUGUUUUCUUCCAGAGCUGGCCUGUCCUCCCCGCAGCAAUUACGAGCUCUGCGGCUCCUCCUGUCCUAGCUCUUGUGCCGAGCCUGCCCUGCCCGACAGCUGCCUGACACCAUGCCAGGAUGGCUGCCAGUGUGACCCAGGCUUUGUGCUCAGUGGCAUGGACUGCGUGCCCCCAAUCCAGUGCAGCUGCUCCAUGGGGGGCAGGUACCACCACCCGGCUGGGGAGGCCUUCUGGACUGGGGAGCGCUGUGAGCAAUUCUGCCACUGCCAGGCCUCCACCCACGCCGUGUGCUGCUCCCCGUCCUCCUGUGGGCCGGGGCAGAGAUGUGAGACCCUCAGGGGCAUCUUUGGGUGCCACCCACUCUCUCAAAAAAAAAACAAAACAAAACAGGAGAUUUCAUCAUAAAAAUCUCCAUUUCUAGCUUCUGUGGGUGAGUGAUGACGUCAGAGCAGCACAGAGGCAGGUGUCAGGGAGCCUGUGGACUCUUGGCCACUGUGUCACCUCACAUGGCUCCUGGAAGCCAGGCGGACAGUGAUACGUCCACAGCCACACCAUCCCCAUGGUGGUGGGACAGGGUUACCUGCCAGUGCCCACUCUUCUCCCACAGGUGCUGAGACCACAGCGCUGUUCCACAAAGCCCCAGGAAGCCACAUUACCCUGUCCACCGGCCUCUCUA
rnacentral:lncRNA from 10 species